CUUUACAGUUAUUGGCGUUAGACAAAAACGUUAUAAUUUUCUUGAACUUUACUUGUUUAUAUCUUUUUUUAAGUUAAACAUGAAACUUGAGAUUUUUUGCAUUAUUCAGUUUAAAUUUACCUUUUCCAACCAUUUAUAGAAAGUACUAUUUACUACUUUAUAUACUAUUUAUAUGGCUUCACUUUAUUUUACUUUUCAGAGUUUCAGAGAAAAGUUAUGUUUUUAUCCUUGCUGAAAUUAAAAACAUUUUAGUAAAUAAAACUGCACAGUUUUCUAAUGAUCCAGAAGGUUAUAAACAACUUAAAAGUUCAGAUGAACUUAAUGUUUUGAAAAGAAAAAUUGCAAAUGGAGAUAUCCAAUACAUCACUUUUGUAAAACAGUUAUCAUUAAUUGGAGACUGACAACAGACACUAUUUUCAGAAUGCAGCAUGAAUGGUCUAAAGAAGAAAAAAAAGUUGAAAAAGUUGACAAGUCUAUAUAUCGCUAUCACUGAUGAUGCCUCAAAGUCAAAUAAAAGUUUAACCAAAAUGGAUUUUAUGCAACUUAUUGGAAGAUUAAUUAGGCAUUCUUCUGACUGAUUCAAGAGAAAAUCCACCAUUAUCGAUCAACGAUGGCUUAAUUAACUUCAAUCAACUGUUGUGUUUUUAUUUAUUUUGCAUUUUACAGUAAUUUUCUGUUUACUUAUAAUAUAUUAUCGAUUAUACUUUACAAAAUAUAUUAGUUUUUAAUUUGGAAAGUGUAACUUUGCUUGAAUAAUUUUUCCAAGUUUUUUUUAAAAUUAAUAAUUUAUUUUAAAUAUAUGAAAUUAUACUUUAUGAA